rnacentral:tRNA from 2 species
GCCUAGGUAGCUUAAUAAAGCGUCAGCUUGUGGCGUUGAAGAUGUCUUAAAAUUUAGACUCUGGGCA